rnacentral:lncRNA from 1 species
ACAUAUAUAUUCUGAUUGCUUUGUGUUUUUUGGCAUGUUGCAGUUUUACAAAAACUUCUCCUCAGGGUUAAAAGACAUUGUCUGGACUGCUGAAUCAAAUUCAAAUGAUGAUCAUGCUGCCCGCACCACCUAAAAUCCAAUGUCAAAUUCUAUCUAUUUACUCAUGUCUCUACUCAAACCUUUUUAUAUACUACUAUUAACAUCACCGAUUAAAUACCCACUAAUAUAUUACUAUUAUACUGUGCACGCCACAUACGCAAACCUAUUGAAUUUACAUACUCCCUCCGUCCCCAAAAUAAGUUCCUCUUUGGGGACGGCACAGGUUUUAAGGAAAAUGGUAAAGUGUAUUGAUAGUGGAGAAAAAUAUGUUAUAAUUAGUAUUGAGAGUGGUGAAAUAUCGUAAAACAUCCACUUCGCAGUUCAUAAUAAAAUUCUCAUUCCUAUCAUAAAACUAAAAAUGACUGAUUCAAUGGUGGGGUGUGUUCGGUAGUAAUUAAUUCUAUAUUCAAUUAAUUCCACACAAAUUAAUUUUGAUUUAGAAUAAAAUUCUUUCCAUAUCCAUACCCAACAGAAUCGGAAAGUGAACAGAAGCAUGUUACAUUUUUACCCUUUGGAAGGUUUUAGUUACGAAUCAAACAAUCUCAUCUUACGAACCGUCUAAUUUGUUAAAAUUCAAUCUUGUCCGUUGAUUUGAGUUGAAUGAAUGGUAGGAUUUUGUUCCUAUUUUAUAUACUUAAGAGUGUUUUCAUGUAGCCUCACCCUAUAUAUAUAUAUAUAUAUAUAUAUAUAUAUAUAUANGUUACGUAGUACGUACCUACCUACUAUAUAUAUAUAUAUAUAUAUAUAUAUAUAUAUAUGAAUGAGGUCAUGUACUACCCAAGCCUUAGGUAGUAUGUAGUAUCAAUUCGAGACCAUACAUUUCAUACAUGUGGCGCACCAAGAUUGUGACAUGUGGCAUAGGUCUUCCAAGGCCUUCUAAGGAAACAUUUGCGCAUAGGUAAAAUCGGAAUAAAAAUUUUGAAUAUUAGAAAAAUUAAAAAUAUUUUCUUUUAGAUUUUUUUGAAGCUGACAUGUUUUAAAUACAUAACUUUCAAACAAAAAUGCAUAACAUUAUACAUAAAAAUGCAUUGCAUUUUGCGACACACAAUUUUUUUUUUUUGGCCUUGAAAGGCUUUGGAAGCUCAUUGCCACAUGUUGCGUUCUUAGCAUGUCACAUGUAUAAAAUGUUAGAAACAAAGUUUAUAGUAGAAGGCAGAAGAAGACGCAGGACGUGCAACAGUAGAUAUAAUUAGAUAUCAGUUUUAUUUAUGUUUAUUUUAUUUAAUUAAGUUAGGUUUAUUUCUUUCUCUAUUAGAGUCCUUUUCCAAUUAGGAAAAGUAUUUAGGUCAGAAUCCUAUUCUGUUAAGGAAAGGAUUUAGUAGUAUAAAUAAGGCUUCUUUCCUUAUCAGAGAGGCUGUCUAGAGAGGCUGUCUAGGAUUUGAAUUUUGGUCUAGCACAAGUUGCUUUAGAAUAGCAAGAGUUCCUCUCGUUUGAAUUUCUCUUUAUUUUGCGUAUUAUCAUUCUUUAGGGGGGUGUAUUCGUUGUGGAAUUUGAUGGAUUUCUAUGGAUUUUAAAAGUCUGGGUGUAUUCGUUCAAGACUUUUAAAAGUCUGCAGAAAUCUGGGUGUAUUCGUUCAAGACUUUUAAAAGUCCUUAUAAAUCUGGGUGUAUUCGUUCAAGACUUUUUAAAAUCCACACAAAUCUAGGUGUAUUCGUUAUUCCAUUGACUUAAAAUCUGGAAUGACUUUCAUGGAUUUCAUCCAAAAAAUACACUCGACGAAAUCCGACCAAGAACCACGAGAAUUGAAAUCCAUGNUUAAUUUUGGUUAUGAAUUCAAGUUUUGAAACUCGAAUUCACAACUGAAUAGCUAGUAUUGAUUGUGAAUUCAAGUUUAAAAGUUUGAAUUCACAACUAAAAAUAGUGUUAGUCGUGAAUUCGAGUGAAUUCACAACUAGAAAUAGCGUUGGUUGCGAAUUAAAGUUUUAUUGGUUGUGAAUUCACAACUAGAAGUAGUGUUGGUUGUGAAUUCAAGUUUUAUUGGUUAGGAAUUCACAACCAACGCUGGUAAUUCAAUUGUGAAUUCUAGUUUUAGUUGUGAAUUCAAUAACAUUAUGUUGUGAAUUCGUAAAUCUGGUCGUAAAUUCAAAAACAUUAAGUUGUGAAUUUAUAGAUCUAGUGAUAAUUAAAUAUCCAACAGAGUUUUUGAGUGAAGCAAAGUUAUUUAAAUUAAACCUCAAAACUAAUACUCCCUCCGUCCCAGCUUUUAAUAUCCAACUUUUCUUUUUUGUCCGUUCCACAUUUUGGUAUCCAUUUUUAUUUUUAGUAAAAGUAGGUGGGUCAUUGCUCCACUUUAAUUAUUUUAACACUCACAUAAAAGGUGAGACCCUUAUUCCACUCACAACACAUCAACCAUUUUAUUAAAACCCGUGUCACUUUUAAAUUAGGAUACUAAAGACUGAGAGAAUUAUUUUAACUACCGACAUAAAAGAUGAGACCAUUUUUCCACUCACAACACAACUAACUAUUUUAUUAAAACUUGUGUCACUUUCAAAUGGAUACUAAAAGCUGAGAGAAUUAUUUUAACACCCACAUAAAAGAUGAGACCCUUUUUUCCACUCACAACACAACCAAAUUAAGAAUGUCCGUUGUCAACUAAAUUCAGGUUUUUUUAGGCUGAAGAUUUUCAGUCGUAGUCUUUCCUAUCUCAUUUAAACCCCUAAAGUAAUUUCGGUCUAACCUUUCGCUUCUAAUUUUAAAAAUAGUGCGAAUGCAAUCAUAAUUGAUGGCAAAUAUCGUUGUCAAUCAUUCACGGUAAUUAGACACGUGAAAGUAGUGUGUGGGUGUGAUCUAGCGAUAAUGUAGUUAAUAUUCAAGGCUAAAGAACUUGGUUCAAGUCAAUCAUAAAAUUAUGAAAAAAUAAAUUUCUUUAUUUAGUGAUUAAUUUAUAAAAAAAAAAAACACGUACCUGAAAGUUUUUCAAUCUAGUUCCUUUUCAUGUGGGAAUAUGGAAAGAAAAAAGAAAAAAAGAAAGGUUUCCAUGAGUUUUUCGGUAGUUUGCUCAAUUCACUUGGGUAGCGAUGAAUAACA